ensembl:lncRNA
AUAACACUCUUUAACUUUUCUUCUUUUCUGUUAUUACAUUAAUGUAAUGCGUGUUUUUAUCCAGUGGAGGGCGGUAUUCUCCCUGCCAGAAACGUAGAAGAAGAAAAAGGGGCUAAAACAGCAGCAGGAGGAGAAAUCCCCUGCAGGACGCGCGCUGUCUCGCACGCCGAGUUCCAGACCGCCUGCGCCGCCGGCGUGAGCCGCAGGACCGUCCUGCGAGAUGCGCUUCCGCGGCCCAGUGUCCACGUACAUGUACAUGAUGCAUGUGUAUCUGUAACAUAAAGCCAGCCAAGGCGGAAGGAGUGCUGUCGCAGGCGAUGUUGAUGUGCCUGCUCACCAGACAAGGCUGAAAUCCUUCGACCUCCGAGCUUGGCGGCACCAGGGGAUUGUUAUUUUCCAAAGCUUCCCAGGUGAAGCAGACGAAGAGCUCAACCACCAAAAGAAGGUGUGGGAGCAGAUUCAGCCGGACCUGAAAUCAAAUCAACUAACACAGCUGGUCAGAAUGGCUCAGUGAAAGUCCCCUGUUGCCCCCUGUUGCACAGACAUGGGCAUCACUCAAACCGUUAUCUAAAAUCUGAAGUUCUGCAUUUGGCCAAAUAGGGAACUUCAGUACCCAUGAUGAUUAUGUAUGUGUGUGGUGAGAUGAGAACAUACAGGCUUUGUGAUUCAGAAAAGCCCCUUUGGUUGGGAACUAUUUGAUAAAAUAUCAAUAGUUGACUCCAUGGAAGACAAACGUGAUUCACGGGAAAGCUAAAUCUUAAAGCAUUUUUAUGUGUGUGCAGUGAAUGUUUGAGCUUGUACGGACCUAAUGUUCCCUUUUCUACAUUUGGGGAGACAUUUUGCAUGUUUUUAAUUGGAAUAGAAUGGGCAGUGUUGCCAGUGCAUUUAAUUGUGGGAAUAAAAGCUGUUCUUAGGAUUUGGGGCUUUACUCACUCACUUUUUUAAUCAGGGCAAUACUAGGUUUCGCUGUCACUCAUACAGACACUGUAUGAUUUCAUUGUUAUUCAUAUUGUUUUGAACAUAUCCUACUUAUUUGAAUGUUAUAAUACUUCACUAUUAUUUUUAAUAAUUUUUACUAUAUUAUUGUUACCUCCUUGCUCUGAGGCGACAGUGCUAACCACCACACCACCGUGCCGCCCUAUUGAAAUAUAUUUCAUUACAAAAUAUGUUCAU